AGUGGUUUGGAUUUUAUUGAAGGAAAUGCGUCGCUGUGUAGGAGUUUCUGCUACGGAAUUCCUCUGAUGACCGUCCUUCUUCCGACUAAAAAUGAAUAAUUACGAUACUUUCCCUAGCCAUUCAAUGUGUGCAGUGGCUAAGUGGAGGGAGGAUGUUGUCUUGCCCUCACUACAGUACUCGUUAGCAAGUUACUUCGUGCUUCGUUAUCCCAGCCACCUGUUGCCACGGUGACGGUGGUGGUGGGCAUGACACAGAUGCGGGAGGUGGAGUUUGUGCCCGAUGGAGACAUGCAGCUGGACAAAUUGUGUUGGUCAUUGGUCAGACUGGAGUUUACAUGUGUACCUCCUUCACCAUCAUUGGUGGACACUUCACCAUGAGUGAUGCUUGAGCUGUCAUGGUGCUGCUGCUGUUGUCUGCCAUCAUCCCCCUGACACAGACCACCCUGCAGACCACCUUCAUCCUGGGUGCCACACGUCACUGCUGCUACAACUCAGAGCAACUGGAGCGCAAACCAGGAAGGGAAAUGUGUUGCCACGGUGAUGGUGGUGGUGGGCAUGACACAGAUGCAGGAGGUGGAGUUUGUGCCCGAUGGAGACAUGCAGGUGGACAAAUUGUGUUGGUCAUUGGUCAGACUGGAGUUUACAUGUGUACCUCCUUCACCAUCAUUGGUGGACACUUCACCUUGAGUGAUGCUUGAGCUGUCAUGGUGCUGGCUGCUGUUGUCUGCCAUCAUCCCCCUGACACAGACCACCCUGCAGACCACCUUCAUCCUGGGUGCCACACGUCACUGCUGCUACAACUCAGAGCAACUGGAGCGCAAGCCAGGAAGGGAAAUGGUUACCUUCUUGUUGAUGUGCAAUCUUGCUAUGUGGGCGAUGAACACCUCUGAGACAUCACGAGCAGAUGCCCAUCCAGCACAGCUCAGCUUGUAUGGAAUCUGGACCUGGACCAUCAUAUCAAUGCCACUGCCUUUGAUAUGUGUUUGAUAUGGCUUCUAUUGCUUUCAAGUGACCAUCUGCCUCUGUGAAAUAUGGAAGAUCUUACAAGCUCAAGCAUGAGUAUUAAGCAAGUUAUAGGAAUGCUAGUAUGAGUGUGGUGUGUCUGAAUUAGCUGUCAGAGUAUUGUAAAUAUUAUUACUUAGUCUUCCCAGUUAUGAAAUUAAGAACAGUUGUGAAGUUUGCUUUAAAACCCUUCAUUAACUUUGCCACAAAACACUUUUACAUGUUAUCAAAAGUGUGUAACUGUUAUGAUGUGUGCAUAUAUAUCAUUACUACAGAAGAAUCUGGAAUUUCCCCUCAGAUUACUUUAAUGAAUGAAGCUUGAGUUCACAGAUGUGUGGUUUGUAAAUUUCACCUGUAUUCUCUCCUCUAUGGCAGUCUGUUCUGGCAAAGUUUCAUUUGUCAAAAGCAUUACAGUUUGUAAAUGAUGUGUCUUCAUAUGCCUUCACUAGCAAUUAUGAAUUACAUUGUGGUCAUGGAUUUUGUUCUUUUAAUACAGUUGCCUCAAGAUAUUCUGAGCUUUACAAUGCUGUCUUUAGUACACUGCAAGAAAAUACAGAAAUUUCAUGUGGCAACAUUUAUUUUUAAAACAUUAUUUAUUACUUUUAAAAAUAGCAAUGUGGGGCUUCCUUAAUGCAAAUAGUCUUGCCCCAAAAAACUUGUGAUGUCAGACACUAACUUCUCUUAACACAGCACAACCAAAACCACUCAAAAUUAUACAUUAAUUUUUUUUAUAGAGCAACAUGUGUGGAAAGUGCUACCAGAAAUAUUUGCAUAACAAAUAUUUGGUUCUGGACCUUAGCACUUAUACAGUACUGCACUAACUUACACACAAGGUUAAUUAAUGAUGUAAUACUCAGGUGAAGCUGGAUUUUCAAAAGACUGAUCAAUAUUUUUUCCCAGAUGUCAUUUUUAUGCAGCUGACUGAAGGAGAAAACACUGCAAAGCUCACAGUAUUCUUCUUAAAUCUUACUAAAAUGUAUGCGCAUCACUUUCUGAUUUCACCCCAAUGGCACACAAACCAAAAUUCAUGGGUAUGGAGAUGGCUGGACUACUUCCUGUGGCCACCCCUGUUAUAUCUUAAUUUCCCACUGUCUUUCCUGUGUGCUGGUUAAGCUACUCACUGCUGAAGUCCCUGGAAACUAGGUAGAAUAAUUUAGAAUGACAUGGUUAAGUUAAUGCUGAUAAAAUCUCAUUUGUAAUAUUCAGGAAGAUUGAAUUAUUCUUCCUCUGUUGAAGCAAAUGAUAUAACAUUGACUAGAAGCUUUCACAAUAUUUAUAAGCUUUCUUGUAUCAGAGAUCUUUUGAAAAUCCAACCAUUAAUUUGUAAAUACUUGUAUAGUGUAGCUGGCAUGAGGGUUGCAGUCUUCAUUAUUUACUAGUGGACAAGCAACAAGUGAUGGUGUGGCUCUGAGCCACUGUAGUAGGGAUGUUAUGGUCAAACCUCCAUACAUUACUGUCUCUAUCCAGUAUGAGACCGGUGUUCAAGAAGCACAAGCAUGUGCUGAAUAACAAGAAGCCGGCGUGGCUCAAGAGGAAGAGUGAGUAGGACGAGAAAAAACAGAACAAAUAAAUCCCCUACACGUGUUGUCUCCAUUGACACAAGCCAUGAAAAGCUUGUCCAUCUCUGAGUGCUAAGGAGCAGUGUGUUCAACUGAUGAUGUGGAAACUUGAGACAGCCAAUCAUUUAAUGGACUUUAGUAGGUUUUGUCACCAGUCUUCUGUGUGUCACUCACUACAUUUUGAAAUUUUUACUUGUUCUAUUUAAUUUUGUGUGUAUGUACACAAUGUUUAUGGUCAAUAAACUAUUUAUAAAAACUAUUUAUCUGUGUAAGAUAAAAGCAGUUAUUAUUAUUAUUAUUAUUAUUAUUAUUAUUAUUAUUAUUAUUAUUAUAAUUAUUAUUAUUAUUACAUAUUUUCCUUGUAUUUAAAUAUUAUUAUUAUUAUUAUUAUUAUUAUUAUUAUUAUUAUUAUUAUUAUUAUUAUUAUUAUUAUUAUUAUUAUUACAUUUUCCUUGUAUUUAAAUAUUAUUAUUAUUAUUAUUAUUAUUAUUACAUAUUUUCCUUGUAUUUAAAUAUUAUUAUUAUUAUUAUUAUUAUUAUUAUUAUUACAUAUUUUCCUUGUAUUUAAAUAUUAUUAUUAUUAUUAUUAUUAUUAUUAUUAUUAUUAUUAUUAUUACAUAUUUUCCUUGUAUUUAAAUAUUAUUAUUAUUAUUAUUAUUAUUGUUAUUAUUAUUAUUAUCAUGCAUUUUCUUGUAUAUAAAUAAAAUACUAUAACUGA